rnacentral:rRNA from 1 species
AUUGAACGCUGGCGGCAGGCCUAACACAUGCAAGUCGAACGAGUGGCGGACGGGUGAGUAAUGUCUGGGAAACUGCCUGAUGGCGGGGGAUAACUACUGGCAACGGUAGCUAAUACCGCAUACCCUCAGAUGUGCCCAGAUGGGUGUGGAUUUUUGGUGGGGUAACGGCUCACCAAGGCGACGAUCCCUAGCUGGUCUGAGAGGAUGACCAGCAACACUGGAACUGUGACACGGUCCAGAGUCCUACGUGAGGGAGCAGUGGGGAAUAUUGCACAAUGGGCGCAAGCCUGAUGCAGCCAUGCCGCGUGUAUGAAGAAGGCCUUCGGGUUGUAAAGUACUUUCAGCGGGGAGGCGUUACCCGCAGAAGAAGCACCGGCUAACUCCGUGCCAGCAGCCGCGGUAAUUC